rnacentral:tRNA from 1 species
UGUCCGAUGGUGUAAUGGUAACACAGCAGAUUUUGGUUCUGUCGUUCAAGGUUCGAGCCCUUGUCGGACAA